CUGAAGGGUCUAAAUAAGCUAUUUGGUGGAUGACUCGGCUUGAAGUCUGACGACGGGCGUAGCAAGUUGCGAUAAGCUUGGGGGAGAUGCAGGCAAUCCUUGAUCCCAAGAUUCCCCAAUCAUUCCGAGAGGAAGAAUCACGCGGUGAAUUGAAACAUCUCAGUAACCGCAGGAAAAGAAAGCAAGAGCGAUUCCGUUAGUAGUGGCGAACCAAAGCGGAACAGGGCAAACCGAAUCCACCGUGGUGACGUGGUGGAAAUGUGGUGUUCGGACCGUCUUCAACUUUCAAAGAGAUCUCAAAGUCCCCUGGAACGGGGCGGCGUAGAAGGUGAUACCCCUGUAGAGAGGUCUGCGAAAGUCGUUAUGGCGAGUUCCAGAGUAGCGUUACGUGAAAGUAGCGUGAACCCGGGGGUACCAACCCCUAACUCUAAAUAUGGCUCAAGACCGAUAGAGGACUAGUACCGUGAGGGAAUGUUGAAAAGUAUCCUGAGAAGGAGCUGAAAAGAUCUGAACCCAAAUAGCGAUAUGCGUUACUGCCUGGAAGCUAAAACCCCCGAACAUUAGGAGGGGGUGUUAUGCAGGGUGGUAACUUCAGUCAUGAAGCACUGGGCAGGGAGUUUAUUUAUGUGGCGAGGCUAACCUGAAAAAGGGUAACCGAAGGGAAACCGAAAACCCGCAGCAUGCGAGGGGUGGUGUCUUAAACUGGCACUAUAGUCACAUGGGUAAGACCUGAAGCCUGGCGAUCUACACGUGAGCAGGAUGAAACCGGCGCUCAAGCCGGUGGAGGUCCGCAACUAGUGCACAAUUCAACUGGCUUAGGUGACUUGCGUGUAGGGGUGAAAUUCCAAUCGAGCCAGGCGAUAGCAGGUUCCUAUCGAUACACGCCGUAGUGUGGCCUCGGUCGAGACAGAUGGCAUGGUAGAGCACUAAUUUGGAAGUUAUGGAGAGAAAUCUUCGGCUUCCUUGUUAAACUCCAAACGUGUCAUCGUCGUAGAAGCCGGGAGUCGGGGCGUCGGGGUAAGCUUGACGUCCGGAAGGGGAACAACCCAGCCCAUGGUUAAGGUCCCUAAUAGGCAGCUAAGUGUAAAUACAAACGAUGUCACAACCCUAAAACAGCUGGGAGGUAGGCUCAGAAGCAGCCAUCCUUUAAAGAGUGCGUCAUAGCUCACCAGUCUAGGGGGGUGGCGCGGAAAAUUGACGGGGCUAAAGUUGCCAACCGAUACCAUGGAUACCAACAGUAGUUGGUAGCGUAGAUAGGCGAUGUGCGAGAGCAGAAGCUAGGCCGUAAGGUCUUGUGGAUCUCGUUCAUUUGAAAAUCCUGCUGAAAGUAACAGCCACAGAACAGUGAGAACCUGUUCCGCCGAAAGGGCCAGGGUUUCUCAGCCAUGCUUGUCAGCUGAGAGUAAGUCGAUCCUAAGUGCAUUCCUAACCGACGUGCACAAAAGGGAAUCAGGUUAAUAUUCCUGAACCUAACGGAUACGCGCGGCGACGCAUGUCCAUCGCGUGACGCUUUGGGGUAGGUGAAGCACAACCGUCGUUGUGUCUAAAAGGAAUAAGGUUGUGGAGUAUCGUAAUGAUGAGAAACAACCUAAAUCCUUGAAUGGCCCACAUUUGUGGGUUUUGCCAAGCCCUGGAGUCCAUGAAAAGCGUGAUGGAAAGGAUUCCGUUAGAUCGUACCAAGAACUGACACAGGUGCCCCUAGCUGAAAAAGCUUAGGCGUGGCGGGCCAGCCGUCUUAAGGGAACUCGGCAAAUUAGUCUUGUACCUUCGGAAGAAGAGAUGCCUACCCUCCUUCGGGAAUGGUAGGUCGCAGUGACAAGGGGGGAGCGACUGUUUACCAAAAACACAAGUCCUCGCUAGCCCGUGAGGGUUUGUACGGGGGCUGACAUCUGCUCACUGCCAGUACGUGAAUACCUGGUACAACGGGAGUAAGCGCUGGUGAAGAGCGGGCCUAACUCUGAGGCUCAACACAAAAAGGAGUUAGGAAACAGCAACCACAACAAGCAACAACAACCACAAAAAAAAUUUGGUUAAGCAGUUAGUAUACAUGUAUUACGCAGCCUGAAAAGGGCCUCGUAAAACCUGGCUAUGUGCGGGAAACUCCGAAGUAUCCGACACUACCCGAGUCUUAUCAACUCCUGCUAUCAAAUCGAUAGCAGAAAAGGGUAAAAACGUGAUCGGUGCGGACAAUCCGCAGGGAAGUCGUGAUUGACCCCUCAGAGACUACACGCCAAGGGCUCUCGAUUUAUCGAGAGGCAUGAUAUAGUCCGAUCCUAAUAGCGAUAUUAGGCACACCAAUAAUACAAAGGAAAACACAGAUGCUUAAGGUAGCGUAAUACCUCGUCGCUUGAUUGGCGACUUGCAUGAAUGGUGUAACGUCUCCGCCACUGUCCCUAAGACGGACCCGGUGAAAUUGUUUGCUGGUGAAGAUACCAGUAAUUCCUAGUGGGGCGCAAAGACCCCGUGGAGCUUUACCGCAGCCUGUUGUUAUGGCUUGUUUUUGCAUACAUAGAGUAGUUGGGAGACUUCGAAGCAGAGUCUUCGGGUUUUGUGGAGUCGACGAUGUAACACCAACUAUACAAAAACAAGUUGUUUACUUCGAGAGAGGGACAGCAGUAGGUGGGCGGUUUGACUGGGGCGGUACGCCCUUGAAACGAUAUCAAGGGUGCCCAAUGGUCACCUCAUCCGUGUUAGAAACACGGAGUAGAGAGUCAAGGACAAAUGGUGGCCUGACAGUGUUCCGUACAGAGAGGAACGCUGACACGAAAGUGCGGCCUAGUGAUCACCAAUACUCUUUUGGUGGGAGUUUGGUCUGUCAGAAAAGUUACCCCGGGCGUAACGGGAUCGUCGCGGGCGAGAGUCCAUAUCGACCCCGCGGUUUGUCACCUCGCUUUUGGCACGUGUCAUCCUGGCAGUGCAUAAGCUGCCAAGGGUAGGGUUGUUCAUCCAUUAAAGACGCACGCGAGCUGAGUUCAGUCCGUCGCGAGACAGGACGGCGGCACCUACUAGGAAUGUUGAUUAUCUGAGGGGAAGGCACUUCAAGUACGAGAGGAACGUGGUGUCGGCGCCUCUGGUGUACCGGUUGUCCGACAGGGCAGCGCCGGGCAGCUACGCGCCAGCUUAUAAGAGCUGAAAGCAUCUAAGCUCGAAGGAGCCCCUAAAAAGAGAUAGUCACUCUCAAGUACUUGUAUUUGAGACGACGGCUCCCAUAGAAGAUGGGUUUGAUAGGCACGACGUGUAAGUGUUUAGGCUUCGGCCGAGGCAUUCAGCGUGCGUGUACUAAACGCCGGAGGGACUCUUCAU
rnacentral:rRNA from 1 species